rnacentral:rRNA from 1 species
GUGGGGAAUUUUGGACAAUGGGCGCAAGCCUGAUCCAGCAAUGCCGCGUGCAGGAAGAAGGCCUUCGGGUUGUAAACUGCUUUUGUACGGAACGAAACGGUCCGGGUUAAUACCCUGGGCUAAUGACGGUACCGUAAGAAUAAGCACCGGCUAACUACGUGCCAGCAGCCGCGGUAAUACGUAGGGUGCAAGCGUUAAUCGGAAUUACUGGGCGUAAAGCGUGCGCAGGCGGUUUUGUAAGACAGGCGUGAAAUCCCCGGGCUCAACCUGGGAAUUGCGCUUGUGACGGCAAGGCUGGAGUGCGGCAGAGGGGGAUGGAAUUCCGCGUGUAGCAGUGAAAUGCGUAGAUAUGCGGAGGAACACCGAUGGCGAAGGCAAUCCCCUGGGCCUGCACUGACGCUCAUGCACGAAAGCGUGGGGAGCAAACAGGAUUAGAAACCCCGGUAGUCC